GGGGGUGAGCGGUUUCGACUUCGCACGUCGAACCAGGGGAAGCGGGCCGAGGAGGCCGCGUUAUCUCGUUAACGCUCGCGGCAACGUUACAAGUGCCAACGAAAAGCGCACUGACUUCGCCCUCGCCGCCUGAGGCAGGGAGCUAGAAGUCUGUCGACCCGGGUUCGCUUCCGACCCGGUGUUCGGCAUCAUUGAGGAGGCUCACCUGCCGGUACGGUCGCGGGACCGGCAGGGACACUCACGCGACUGGGCUCGUCACGGUGGACUCGCCUGCGUGAUCACCGGAGCCGAGUAGAGACACAGCAGGCUGCGCCCGGAGAAGCCCUGAGGGAGCGUCGAAGGACCCGGGUUCGAUUCCCGGCACCUCCACCC
rnacentral:tmRNA from 1 species